rnacentral:rRNA from 3 species
UGGUGGGUAGUUUGACUGGGGCGGUCUCCUCCUAAAGAGUAACGGAGGAGCACGAAGGUUGGCUAAUCCUGGUCGGACAUCAGGAGGUUAGUGCAAUGGCAUAAGCCAGCUUGACUGCGAGCGUGACGGCGCGAGCAGGUGCGAAAGCAGGUCAUAGUGAUCCGGUGGUUCUGAAUGGAAGGGCCAUCGCUCAACGGAUAAAAGGUACUCCGGGGAUAACAGGCUGAUACCGCCCAAGAGUUCAUAUCGACGGCGGUGUUUGGCACCUCGAUGUCGGCUCAUCACAUCCUGGGGCUGAAGUAGGUCCCAAGGGUAUGGCUGUUCGCCAUUUAAAGUGGUACGCGAGCUGGGUUUAGAACGUCGUGAGACAGUUCGGUCCCUAUCUGCCGUGGGCGCUGGAAGACUGAGGGGGGCUGCUCCUAGUACGAGAGGACCGGAGUGGACGCAUCACUGGUGUUCGGGUUGUCAUGCCAAUGGCACUGCCCGGUAGCUAAAUGCGGAAAAGAUAAGUGCUGAAAGCAUCUAAGCACGAAACUUGCCCCGAGAUGAGUCUUCCCUGAGACUUUGAGUCUCCUGAAGGAACGUUAAAGACGAUGACGUUGAUAGGCCGGGUGUGUAAGCGCAGCGAUGCGUUGAGCUAACCGGUACUAAUGAACCGUGAGGCUUAACCUUACAA